rnacentral:rRNA from 1 species
UACGUAGGUGACCAGCGUUGUCCGGAUUUACUGGGCGUAAAGAGCGCGCAGGCGGUCGUUCAAGUCGAGUGUGAAAGCCCCCGGCUCAACUGGGGAGGGUCACGCGAUACUGGUCGACUCGAAGGCAGGAGAGGGUAGUGGAAUUCCCGGUGUAGUGGUGAAAUGCGUAGAUAUCGGGAGAACACCAGUGGCGAAGGCGACUACCUGGCCUGUUCUUGACGCUGAGGCGCGAAAGCUAGGGGAGCAACGGG